rnacentral:sRNA from 1 species
ACGCCGUUGGCGAAGCCAGGCUGUCCUAGGAAGCCGAGUGGGAGUGGCACGGAGCUGCUGGAGGUCCUGAGAACCUGAGUUUCGGCAAGCAACCAGAAUAUUUUAAAAAUGACUACACCAAACAAGACACCUCCUGGUGCUGACCCCAAGCAGUUGGAAAGGACUGGAACAGUACGGGAAAUUGGGUCACAAGCUGUUUGGUCACUCUCAUCUUGCAAACCAGGAUUUGGAGUGGAUCAGUUACGAGAUGACAAUCUAGAAACUUAUUGGCAAUCAGAUGGUUCCCAGCCUCAUUUAGUGAACAUCCAAUUCAGCAACUUGAGUUGGUGGAACCAAGUGGCUGGAUUCAUGUUCCCUUAACUGACAAUCAUAAGAAGCCAACUCGUACAUUCAUGAUACAGAUUGCUGUUCUAGCCAAUCACCAAAAUGGAAGAGACACCCAUAUGAGACAAAUUAAAAUAUACACACCGGUAGAAGAGAGCUCCAUUGGUAAAUUUCCUAGAUGUACAACUAUAGAUUUCAUGAUGUAUCGUUCAAUAAGGUGACUUUAAAAUGAGAUGAAAAUCAUUAAAUAUAUCUUUGUUUUAUCCUGUGUUUAAAUAAUAUAUCAGGUACCUUUAUUGAACAAAGCAUCUGUUAUUUGUAAUUUUGUAUAUGUUUAAAAAUAUUUUAUUGUAACUUUGACAAAUAAAUUUGGGGUCAUAUUAUCUUUAUUUUCUUUA